AGAGCGAACGCUGGCGGCAGGCCUAACACAUGCAAGUCGAACGGACCCUUCGGGGUUAGUGGCGGACGGGUGAGUAACACGUGGGAACGUGCCUUUUGGUUCGGAAUAGCUCCUGGAAACGGGUGGUAAUGCCGAAUGUGCCCUUCGGGGGGAAAGAUUUAUCGCCAUUAGAGCGGCCCGCGUCUGAUUAGCUAGUUGGUGAGGUAAAGGCUCACCAAGGCUACGAUCAGUAGCUGGUCUGAGAGGAUGGCCAGCCACAUUGGGACUGAGACACGGCCCAAACUCCUACGGGAGGCAGCAGUGGGGAAUCUUGCGCAAUGGGCGAAAGCCUGACGCAGCCAUGCCGCGUGAAUGAUGAAGGUCUAGGAUUGUAAAAUUCUUCAGUAGGACGAUAAUGACGGUACCUACAGAAGAACGACCCGGCUAACUUCGUGCCAGCAGCCGAC
rnacentral:rRNA from 1 species